GAUGAAGAACGUAGUGAAAUGCGAUAACUAAUGUGAAUUGCAGAAUUCAGUGAAUCAUCGAGUCCUUGAACGCACAUUGCGCCCCCUGGUAUUCCGGGGGGCAUGCCUGUCCGAGCGUCAUUGCUGCCCUCAAGCACGGCUUGUGUGUUGGGCUCCGUCCCCCCGGGGACGGGCCCGAAAGGCAGCGGCGGCACCGAGUCCGGUCCUCGAGCGUAUGGGGCUUUGUCACCCGCUCUGUAGGCCCGGCCGGCGCCAGCCGACAACCCAUCAUCCUUUUCAGGUUGACCUCGGAUCAGGUAGGGAUACCCGCUGAACUUAAGCAUAUCAAUAAGCGGAGGA
rnacentral:misc_RNA from 1 species